ensembl:lncRNA
CACUUGACCUGCCGAGAAAUAAUACAACAGUGGACAAAGAAGAUGACAACUAUGAUGGCAAUGGUAAAGGCAAUGUUUUACCCUUUAGAAGUCUAAAGUUUUGAUACUAUUUCACCUUACAAAAAAAGAAAAAAAAAAAACCUUCAGUUAUCUUUUUUACAUGUAUUCAGGUUUACCUGGCUGGGGGAUUGCUUUAACUGUGGUUGUGGCUGUUGGUGCAUUUAUCGUUUUGUUCAUUGGAAAAAUGUGAGUGCCUUUUGUAAAGUUGAGUUUAACAUGUAAGGAUGUUGUUUUCCUUCUGUCUUAUUAGAAGAAUUAAAUAUAAUUUUAUUCAUAACUGGUGAAAUUACAUCACAGUUUUUGUUUGUGUCAUGUACAAAUUAUUUUAUUUUGACAGAAAGACUUCUGACUGUUUUAACCCUAUAGGGCACUGCUUCUGUGAAAAUGAGAUUGUGUGGCGUAGAGGCAAUGCUUUGUGCCUUCAAGCAAAUCACCUCAUGUCAGCUCAGGGACUGUGCCUGGAACACGUUAUUUGGAAUCAUUCUGUUUGUGUACUCGAACAUCAAACUGACAUUAGGAGCAUCUGUUGUCUUGCAAUGCAAUGGGACGAGACAGAACGAUGGACAGUUCCUCUUUGUCAUUUUGUAUAACAUUAAAGAGUACUUCAGUGACUGCGAGAAACAAUGGCUUGUCAAUGGAACUCUGACAGGUCUUUUUGAGGAAGGAAAUCCAUCUUUCAUCUCUCCUAUUACAAACCUGACCGCAAGCACUGCCACUCUGCAGGCCUGUCCUGAAAAUCUUGAGUGUCUGCUCUCCUGCCCCACUGGCAAAGUAAGUGUGAAAUUGUUUGUGAUAAAUGUUUUAUUGCUUUUAUGUUCUGCUAGGCCAUCAAAUGAAAUGUCAUUGAUAUUUAGUAGCAUAACUGAACUGACAUUGCUUUGCUUUAUGCUUAUUUUUAUUUAUUUUGCAGAUCAAUGAAAAGCAACUGUGCUCUUGUAAGUAACUGAUUUAUACUAUUUUCUAAACAUGGCUGCAGAUCUUGACAGAUACUUCUUAUUCUAAGAAUUUUCUGUCUGAACACAAGAAAAGACGUGUUCCUGUACAGUAGUUUAAAAAGUAGAGCAGGGUGCUAGUGAGAGAAAUGACCAUCUGGCUUUUGUUGUGGCCAGAUGUAGUGAAUGUGUAAAGGAAGUUAUGAGUAAGUGAAAGCAGCAUAUUGAACAGUAUGACUAAGCUCUUUGUAGAUUUGUCUUUCUGCCAAAUUUACACUACAGACUAAACAUAGAUGUUAGUUCUCAUGAUGUGAACUGUAAUAAAUGAGUAUUUAUUAAUUCUGUACACCCUGUUUAACACAUAGUAAUAUCAAGUUACUCAAAACAAAGGAUUUGAUGUUUUAUUGCCCUAAUACAUGCACUGAGUAAAAUAACACUGUAUUGCAGGUGAUAUCAGCACUCCGACUUCACUUUCUGAAGGUAAGAUUCAACUGCUUAUGCUAUAGUGCUAAUUUCUGUCAAGCUACUGUAAGGGAAGUUGGAAAUAAUUAGUUACGAAUGAGUUGCACAUUUUCUUUAAGCAAAAAUAGGUUUUUUAGACCAACAAACUUGUAGCCUAUCCUGAUUCAUAAGGCAGUAAUCAUCCUUCCAGCAAAAUAGAGGGUAGUGGCCGACUACUACUUAUUGACUUUGAUUCUGGAGCUAUUUUGUUUUCUUCACAGAUAUAUUAGGGAUAUAUUAAAAUUCUUCAAAAAAAAUUUUGAACCAAACUAUCCAGCUCUGAGAUGAGAUGAAUCACAAAAUUACAACUUUCAUUUACAGCACAAUGUUUCAGAAAAUCAAAGGAGGAAAGAGGCAAAAGUGUUUGACUUUUGAGGCAAUAACCUACACGUUACUUGAAGCACUGCAAAUGACAGAUUCAAAUCAAAAAUGCUGGUACAAUAUAAAAUAUGAUUUUAAAUAUAGAUUUAGCAAUUAACUUCACAAAUAUGGUAUUACAAGACUAAUACAAAGACUAUAGAAUACCCAAGAUGUGUCACUCGUAUAGAAUUGAAUGGGGAAAAAUGCAAAGCUCAAUAUGGCUGCUCUAUCAAAGGAAGCCCCAUCUUCUGAAUAAAAGAGCCAAUCACAAAUCGGUAAGUCAAUGCGGUAAAGUCAGCGCGUCACUGCAAUUGUCAUUAUUUAGAAGUCAGAAAUCCUGGUUGCUAUAGAAACAGUCAGCGUUCUGAGACGUGCUCUUAGGACUGCUCAUGUGCACUGGCUGGUCUAGCCUGAAAAAUAAGCUUUUUUUUAAUGCUAUUUGAGCGAAAAGAAACAAUAUUUAUGAUACAGUUGUUGUCAUAUUUCAUUGGUGAUUUCAAAUAUGAAAUUUAAUCAUAAGCUUGGUGAACAGUUUUGGGGAAUUUGAUGUUUCUCCAUUCAAAGAGAUAGGAGCUGCAUUUGUAUGCCCAAGAGGCAUUUCAAAGAUGACUGCCGAGUGACAUGACUUGUUUGUUUGUUUUUCCAGUGGGUUAUCUUGACUGGAGCGUUGGUAUUUGGACUGGAGUGAGUGUGUCUGUGGUUCUGUUGGUGUCUGUGAUUAUCACCAUUGUACUUUAUAAGAUUAAACAAAGGUGAGGUCCUCUAAAAAUGUGGAGAUUUAGUCAUACACAGUGCUUUUAUUAAAUACUGGCAUGAACAAGCUAAAGACAUAGGUCUGUAUAAUAUUUGUCUUUUAAUAUUUGUGUAAUCAUGGAUGAUUCUGUGUUAAUAGGUCAAGAUUUGGCCCUAGUGUUCCAGUUCCUGCUGAACAGAUUGUUUUAUUCUGGUAUGUACUGUAGCAUCAGUAGUCUGUGUGUAUGAAUGAUGCAAAUCAUUACCUUUAAUCUUAUAUUUUUAAAUAUACAUUAUAUUUGGUAGUCAACUACAGUAUAAAACAACAGCUUCUAAAAAGCUUUCACCUUUUUUUUUUGACCACAGAAGAUGUUCCAUCAUCACACCUGGACCUUUUAUCUUCAGUUAUUCAUUCUUUGUACUCCAGAAGUAAUCUUUUUAUAAUUUCCAUCAUUUAUGUAGCAUUAGCUCUAUUAUUCUGUGUGUGUUGGCUACAUUUAGCAUCUCAGUGCUUUAUAGCUUGUAGGAUUUUGUUCAUCUUUUAAAAUAAAUUAUGACACUAACCUAAAUGAAGUUACAAGAAAUAGUGAUAUUAUUUAGUUAUAAAUGAUAUAAUCAUAUAUUUAUAUAUAAGUACUGCAUGUGUCCACCAAUGAUGUGAACAUAUUAUAAUGUGUACUAAAAAUGUUUUAUCAUAAAAGUGAAUUUUAUGUCUGUUACACAAAUGGCACAUGCUCAGCAUUUAUAUUUAUUUAUAAUAUAUAUAUAUAUAUAUAUAUAUAUAUAUAUAUAUAUAUAUAUAUAUAUACAUAUACAUUAAUAUUAUUUUUUUUUAUAUAUAUAUAUAUAUAUAUAUAUAUAUAUAUAUAUAUAUAUAUAUAUAUAUAUAUAUAUAUAUAUAUAUAAUAAAAAAUAAUAUAUUUUAUUAAAAAUGAUAACUUAACACAGGUAACUAUGUAUUCUUAUUAAUAUAUAUAUUUAUCGCUGGUCUGUUUGGUUAGUGGGAAGGAACUAGGCAGAUAGCAUGGCACUUAGUGAGCGUAAAACACACGGCAUCACUGUGGCUAGGGUUUAUUGUACUGCUGAAGCAAAUUAACUGUAUUACCAGGGCAAGUAUUUUCUAUAAACUGCUGCUGUGGAAGCAAAAUGAAAUGAAAUGCUGUGCCAGUGAGUUCACAAAUCUAAUACAUUACUAGUCAAAUCCACUCAGCACCUGCCACUGCUUCAGAUCUGGCCUUAAAUAUGAAUGUGUGUUAAUAAACAAGUAAUGUAGUACAAAUGUAGUAGAUCUACAAUCUAAAUAAUCUACAAUUUAAUUAAAGUUGGAGAUGUUUGAACUGAAAUUUUCUCUGUAUGCCAUGCUAUUUGCUGAUGAAGUACUCCUCAUAUUGACCUGGGAACUUCCCACUAGUCUGUACGGUGGCCACUGAUUUAUGAUGAUGUGUCCGCUAUCACUUUGUGGUACUGCUGUAGAUUUUAGCAGAUUUGUGUCAAAUGUCUGUUAGAUGAAAGCUUUAUAUGUGUCAUAACUGAUAUGUUAUAAUAUACGCUUGGCUAUUGUAUUGCACUGCAUCCUCUUUGAAAUGACUUCUGCCUUAAAGCACUUAAAACUGCGGUCUAGGUGAAGAAUCUUCUUUUCUGUUAAUAAAAUGCUUUAAAAACAUUUUGAUGUAUAGCUGAUUGAUUUCUCCAUUGUUCAGCACUUAAGAAGAGAAGAGCAGCACUGUGAGGGUUGUGUUUGCUCAAGUCAAUACCUCAUUAUGUCAUCUGACAGAUAGCUGAUGUGCACAGAUAUGAAUAUGGGGGGCAGACUGACCUUGAAGUGGUCUUUGAGGUCUCCAGCUCAUUCAACACCCUGCCAACAAGAAACUCCCAGUGUCAAUCAGUUCUCCAUAUAUGAAAACUGAAUUUGAUCUCAAAUGCAAAUUUUCAAACUCAAAGUUUAGCCAUUUGAUUUCUUUGUUUAAUUGAUUCGCCAUGUUCUGUCCACAAAAAGGAUAGAGCAGGCUAAAAUCACCUGUUCUAAUUUGAUUGGCAGGCAGUUUCGCAACAUCCACGAUUCAGUCUACUGCACAGAUUUUUCUGCUGGGAAACAGUUUACAUGUUACCAGUAGCAACAGAAGAACAACUUAUGGUAAACGUUCACUUUUUUAAUCUAGCCACUCAUAUGCCAGAAAAAUAAUCACACCACUUUUUCUCCCCAUACUUUUUUUUUUUCAACAGGAAAAGCCAUCGUCAAUGGUUGCUCUGUUGCCUUUAAUAACCCCUUGAACAAUUUGCUUUGUCAUCCAGGAUUUUCAUACAGUCCAGACUCCACCUACUUCUUCACCACAAAACGGUCCAGGGUAAUUUUGAGGCUUCAGAGAAAUGUUGGCUAGUCUCACAUAGCCAUAAAUCUUGAGACCAAUUCCUUUGCUUUAUCUUAGUGUUUAAUAUUUUUUUACCCUGAGCAUGCAGUGCACCAUCAUUUUCUAUUUUUGGUCUUUUUAUUGGUAUUUAAGAAGACAACGUAAUUGACAUUUAAUGAAAAAUAAGAGACAAAUGACUGAAACCAUUUAAACCAUCCCAUGCAAAGAAAUAUAAAUGCAAUUCAAAACCAAAACCCCACACCUUAUAUUCAAGGAAAAGAAGAAGAAAAUAUUAUAAACAUUCCUCUCUCCAAUAUGUGUCUUUGUUGUGCAGCUAAAGAUUUCUUGCAAAACUAGUUUGGAGUCCCUUGCCUCAACUUCGUGAAGCCAUUUUCUACUGGUUUUGAAAUUAAAGUAUAUG